AACGAACGCUGGCGGCGUGGAUAAGACAUGCAAGUCGAGCGGAGUAUCGCGGGUAGCAAUAUUCGUGAUACUUAGCGGCGAAAGGGUGAGUAACACGUAGAUCAUCUACCUCCAAGUGUGGAAUAGCUCGGCGAAAGCCGGAUUAAUACCGCAUGUGGUUGAGGAACGCAUGUUCCGAAAACUAAAGUCGGGGAUCGUAAGACCUGAUGCUUGGAGAUGAGUCUGCGGCCUAUCAGCUUGUUGGCGGGGUAACGGCCCACCAAGGCUAAGACGGGUAGCUGGGCUGAGAGGACGACCAGUCACACUGGAACUGAGACACGGUCCAGACACCUACGGGUGGCAGCAGUCGAGAAUUUUUCGCAAUGGGCGCAAGCCUGACGGAGCGACGCCGCGUGGGGGAUGAAGGUCUUCGGAUUGUAAACCCCUGUCACUUGGGAACAAAUUGGAUGACCUAACGCGUCAUCCAUUGAUAGUACCAAGAGAGGAAGCCGUGGCUAACUCUGUGCCAGCCGCCGCGGUAA
rnacentral:rRNA from 1 species